rnacentral:sRNA from 1 species
UGUUCCUCCAAGCGAGAGAUUCAAUAGUUUGGAUUCUGGCACUACUGUUCUAUGGCAUUUUCCUGAAGCGUUUCUAAUGCAAAUUGCCUCCGACUUCGCAGCAUUUAUGGAAAUUCCCCAUGUCGUGUAAUAUGCUUUUAUAAUUUGAAGAUGGUACGCUGCAUUAUUGAGAGCAGUAAUUGGUAGUGCAAUUUUAUGAUCUCUAGACUCCACUUUUUCGGAAUGCUGAUCGUGUAUGGAGAGGAAGGUGGCAAAGUUUGGCGAAGAGCUGAGUCAAAGUCCUGACGAUAGUUUACCCAAUUUGUGGAUUUAUAAGAUGUAAAGACUGGGGGAGACUUCAAUGCGAGACUGGCCGUGUUAAAGGCUAAUUUCAAUUUUAACGGGAAGUGAUCCGAAAAAGAGGGAAGCGAUGAGAUGUUGUAAUUAGCAGCAUUGAAGUCAAUCAAAUUGGCACUAAUAAGAAAAUGAUCAAGGAAUGAGGAUCCGUUUGGGUAUGAAGGCGUUGAGCAACAAAUUCUACUAAUAUCAGUGGAAUUAUCAAGCAACCAACUAUAAAGAGCUUUACCAUUGGUAUUGUCAGUGAGAUCUCCCCAUGAUACAUUUUUGGAGUUGAGAUCUCCGCCAAAAAUGAACCCGUCAUAUUGUGAUGUUGCCGAUAGACAGUUAUUUAGUCCGUUUAUAAGUUGCAGAGAAUUGUAGUUACAUGGGAUAUAGAGCGAUCCCAACAGAUAUUUACGUAUGAUAUUACCUCUUGUUUCGAUUUCUACAAAAACGGUAUUGAAAUUAAUAUUUUCAAUAUCAACUCGUCUGUAAUUGAGGUUACUUUUUAGUAACAUGGCUACUCCUAUGUGUGAGUAGUCAUAAAUAAAGUUGUAACCGCUUAUUUUUAUUCUUUU